rnacentral:tRNA from 6 species
GGGCGCGUAGCUCAGCUGGUUAGAGCGUUCCGUUCACAUCGGAAAGGCCCCCCGUUCGAAUCGGGGCGCGCCCACAA